rnacentral:snRNA from 1 species
ACAUGUUCGACGUGGGUCAAAAUGUAGUAUCCAUUCUUAUGAGCUUGAUAUCUGAUACGGGUUGUAUUUUGGCCCAAGAUAUUAAACUUACUUUUGUAAGGUGGCGAAGUGCUUGAAGCCUCCUUCAGCUCCGUCGCAGCUCGGCCCGGUAUUGCACGAUGUUCGGGAUAUUUAGUUUAUGGUU